rnacentral:rRNA from 1 species
UGCUGCGGCGCGGCGGACUGAGCUGCGGCCGCUAGAGGAGGCCGGAUGACCUAAAGAGUGGCCACGGACGGCGAGGCUAAGAACAACCCCACGUGCUUAAUGGAGGCAGAACCCUAGGUCAACAGUGCGGAUUAAAGCCAAGAGUUCGUGGUCUUCUUCGUUGUUAUUUGUUCGACCUCCCUAUUGAAAGAGAGUCUAAGAGUUUCUAUCUACUAGUACUGUGGUUUUCUACCUAUAUAGACAUACGCUUUAAUAUUGACUAGAACUCGAUAAGGUCUUCAUGAACACAACACAAUAUAAACGACGUUUUAAUACAACCCCGACACUACUUGACAACAACGACGCUUUCUAGUACAACAGUACUAUUUAAUACUAAGGACCCUAAACCCUAAGCUUCAGUACAACAAUACUAUUUAAUACUACAACAACACUACUAUAUAACUAUUACGACGAUUUAAUAAGGGGACAUCGUCGAAAAGAGUAAAAAUAAUCCACCGG